UACAGAGGGGGCAAGCGUUGUUCGGAAUUACUGGGCGUAAAGGGCGCGUAGGCGGUCUGUCACGUCGGGAGUGAAAACUCGGGGCUUAACCCCGAGCCUGCUUCCGAUACGGGCAGACUAGAGGUAUGCAGGGGAGAAUGGAAUUCCUGGUGUAGCGGUGAAAUGCGCAGAUAUCAGGAGGAACACCGGUGGCGAAGGCGGUUCUCUGGGCAUUACCUGACGCUGAGGAGCGAAAGGUGUGGGGAGCGAACAGG
rnacentral:rRNA from 1 species